rnacentral:rRNA from 1 species
GUGCCAGCAGCCGCGGUAAUACGUAGGGUACAAGCGUUGUCCGGAAUUAUUGGGCGUAAAGAGCUCGUAGGUGGUUUGUCGCGUCUGCUGUGGAAUCGUGCCGCUUAACGGUGCGCGUGCAGUGGGUACGGGCAGACUGGAGUGCAGUAGGGGAGUCUGGAAUUCCUGGUGUAGCGGUGAAAUGCGCAGAUAUCAGGAGGAACACCGGUGGCGAAGGCGGGACUCUGGGCUGUUACUGACGCUGAGGAGCGAAAGCAUGGGGAGCGA